UACGUAGGGUGCGAGCGUUGUCCGGAAUUAUUGGGCGUAAAGGGGCUCGUAGGCGGUCUGUCACGUCGGGAGUGAAAACUCAGGGCUUAACCCUGAGCCUGCUUCCGAUACGGGCAGACUAGAGGUAUGCAGGGGAGAACGGAAUUCCUGGUGUAGCGGUGAAAUGCGCAGAUAUCAGGAGGAACACCGGUGGCGAAGGCGGUUCUCUGGGCAUUACCUGACGCUGAGGAGCGAAAGUGUGGGGAGCGAACAGG
rnacentral:rRNA from 1 species